UACCAUGCAGUCGAGCGGUAACAGAGAGUAGCUUGCUACUUUGCUGACGAGCGGCGGACGGGUGAGUAAUGCUUGGGAACAUGCCUUGAGGUGGGGGACAACAGUUGGAAACGACUGCUAAUACCGCAUAAUGUCUACGGACCAAAGGGGGCUUCGGCUCUCGCCUUUAGAUUGGCCCAAGUGGGAUUAGCUAGUUGGUGAGGUAAUGGCUCACCAAGGCGACGAUCCCUAGCUGGUUUGAGAGGAUGAUCAGCCACACUGGGACUGAGACACGGCCCAGACUCCAACGGGAGGCAGCAGUGGGGAAUAUUGCACAAUGGGCGCAAGCCUGAUGCAGCCAUGCCGCGUGUGUGAAGAAGGCCUUCGGGUUGUAAAGCACUUUCAGUCAGGAGGAAAGGUUAGUAGUUAAUACCUGCUAGCUGUGACGUUACUGACAGAAGAAGCACCGGCUAACUCCGUGCCAGCAGCCGCGGUAA
rnacentral:rRNA from 1 species